GACGAACGCUGGCGGCGUGCCUAAUACAUGCAAGUCGAGCGAGCGGAACUAACAGAUUUACUUCGGUAAUGACGUUAGGAAAGCGAGCGGCGGAUGGGUGAGUAACACGUGGGGAACCUGCCCCAUAGUCUGGGAUACCACUUGGAAACAGGUGCUAAUACCGGAUAAGAAAGCAGAUCGCAUGAUCAGCUUUUAAAAGGCGGCGUAAGCUGUCGCUAUGGGAUGGCCCCGCGGUGCAUUAGCUAGUUGGUAAGGUAAAGGCUUACCAAGGCGAUGAUGCAUAGCCGAGUUGAGAGACUGAUCGGCCACAUUGGGACUGAGACACGGCCCAAACUCCUACGGGAGGCAGCAGUAGGGAAUCUUCCACAAUGGACGCAAGUCUGAUGGAGCGACGCCGCGUGAGUGAAGAAGGUUUUCGGAUCGUAAAGCUCUGUUGUUGGUGAAGAAGGAUAGAGGUAGUAACUGGCCUUUAUUUGACGGUAAUCAACCAGAAAGUCACGGCUAACUACGUG
rnacentral:rRNA from 1 species